UGAAUACUCCCUCCGUCCCAAAAUUAUUGUCUUAGCUUUAUCUAGAUAUGAAUGUAUCUAGUCACGUUUUAGUAUUUAGAUACGUCCAUUUCUAGACAAACCUAAGACAAGAAUUUUGGGACUGAGGGAGUACCAU
rfam:Hordeum vulgare subsp. vulgare, WGS project CAJW01000000 data, contig: morex_contig_42886